CCUACGGGUGGCUGCAGUGGGGAAUAUUGGACAAUGGGGGCAACCCUGAUCCAGCCAUGCCGCGUGUGUGAAGAAGGCCCUCGGGUUGUAAAGCACUUUCAGUGAGGAAGAACGCCUGGUGGUUAAUACCCAUCAGGAAAGACAUCACUCACAGAAGAAGCACCGGCUAACUCCGUGCCAGCAGCCGCGGUAAUACGGAGGGUGCGAGCGUUGAUCGGAAUUACUGGGCGUAAAGCGCGCGUAGGUGGCUUGAUAAGCCGGUUGUGAAAGCCCCGGGCUCAACCUGGGAACGGCAUCCGGAACUGUCAAGCUAGAGUGCAGGAGAGGAAGGUAGAAUUCCCGGUGUAGCGGUGAAAUGCGUAGAGAUCGGGAGGAAUACCAGUGGCGAAGGCGGCCUUCUGGACUGACACUGACACUGAGGUGCGAAAGCGUGGGUAGCAAACAGGAUUAGAUACCCGGGUAGUC
rnacentral:rRNA from 1 species